rnacentral:rRNA from 1 species
CCUACGGGUGGUAGCAGUCGAGAAUCAUUCACAAUGGGGGAAACCCUGAUGGUGCGACGCCGCGUGGGGGAAUGAAGGUCUUCGGAUUGUAAACCCCUGUCAUGUGGGAGCAAAUUGAAAAGAUAGUACCACAAGAGGAAGAGACGGCUAACUCUGUGCCAGCAGCCGCGGUAAUACAGAGGGCGCAAGCGUUGUUCGGAAUCACUGGGCGGAAAGCGUGCGUAGGCUGUUUCGUAAGUCGUGUGUGAAAGGCGGGGGCUCAACCCGCGGACGGCACAUGAUACUGCGAGACUAGAGUAAGGGAGGGGGAAGCGGAAUUCUUGGUGUAGCAGUGAAAUGCGUAGAUAUCGAGAGGAACACUCGUGGCGAAGGCGGGUUACUGGACAUUAACUGACGCUGAGGCACGAAGGCCAGGGGAGCGAACGGGAUUAGAUACCCCUGUAGUC